rnacentral:tRNA from 1 species
GCGGUCGUGGCGGAACUGGUAGACGCGCUAGCUUGAGGUGCUAGUGGGGCGACCCGUGGAGGUUCGAGUCCUCUCGACCGCA